rnacentral:rRNA from 1 species
GGGUUGUGAGGUUAAGCGACUAAGCGUACACGGUGGAUGCCCUGGCAGUCAGAGGCGAUGAAGGACGUGCUAAUCUGCGAAAAGCGUCGGCGAGGUGAUAUGAACCCUUGACCCGGCGAUGUCCGAAUGGGGAAACCCAGUGUGUUCCGACACACUAUCGUUAACUGAAUACAUAGGUUAACGAGGCGAACCGGGGGAACUGAAACAUCUAAGUACCCCGAGGAAAAGAAAUCAACCGAGAUUCCCCCAGUAGCGGCGAGCGAACGGGGAGCAGCCCGGAGUCUGAAUCAGCUUGUGUGUUAGUGGAACGGUCUGGAAAGUCCGACGGUACAGGGUGAUAGUCCCGUACACGAAAAUGCACAGGUUGUGAACUCGAAGAGUAGGGCGGGACACGUGGUAUCCUGUCUGAAUAUGGGGGGACCAUCCUCCAAGGCUAAAUACUCCUGACUGACCGAUAGUGAACCAGUACCGUGAGGGAAAGGCGAAAAGAACCCCGGCGAGGGGAGUGAAAAAGAACCUGAAACCGUGUACGUACAAGCAGUGGGAGCACCUUCGGGUGUGACUGCGUACCUUUUGUAUAAUGGGUCAGCGACUUAUAUUCUGUAGCAAGGUUAACCGUAUAGGGGAGCCGAAGGGAAACCGAGUCUUAACUGGGCGUUAAGUUGCAGGGUAUAGACCCGAAACCCGGUGAUCUAGCCAUGGGCAGGUUGAAGGUUGGGUAACACUAACUGGAGGACCGAACCGACUAAUGUUGAAAAAUUAGCGGAUGACCUGUGGCUGGGGGUGAAAGGCCAAUCAAACCGGGAGAUAGCUGGUUCUCCCCGAAAGCUAUUUAGGUAGCGCCUCGUGAACUCAUCUUCGGGGGUAGAGCACUGUUUCGGCUAGGGGGCCAUCCCGGCUUACCAACCCGAUGCAAACUACGAAUACCGAAGAAUGUUAUCACGGGAGACACACGGCGGGUGCUAACGUCCGUCGUGAAGAGGGAAACAACCCAGACCGCCAGCUAAGGUCCCAAAGUCAUGGUUAAGUGGGAAACGAUGUGGGAAGGCACAGACAGCCAGGAUGUUGGCUUAGAAGCAGCCAUCAUUUAAAGAAAGCGUAAUAGCUCACUGGUCGAGUCGGCCUGCGCGGAAGAUGUAACGGGGCUAAACCAUGCACCGAAGCUGCGGCAGCGACACUAUGUGUUGUUGGGUAGGGGAGCGUUCUGUAAGCCGUUGAAGGUGUGCUGUGAGGCAUGCUGGAGGUAUCAGAAGUGCGAAUGCUGACAUAAGUAACGAUAAAGCGGGUGAAAAGCCCGCUCGCCGGAAGACCAAGGGUUCCUGUCCAACGUUAAUCGGGGCAGGGUGAGUCGACCCCUAAGGCGAGGCCGAAAGGCGUAGUCGAUGGGAAACAGGUUAAUAUUCCUGUACUUGGUGUUACUGCGAAGGGGGGACGGAGAAGGCUAUGUCAGCCGGGCGACGGUUGUCCCGGUUUAAGCAUGUAGGCGGAGGUUCCAGGUAAAUCCGGUACCUUUUAACGCUGAGGUGUGAUGACGAGGCACUACGGUGCUGAAGUGAUAAAUGCCCUGCUUCCAGGAAAAGCCUCUAAGCAUCAGGUAACACGAAAUCGUACCCCAAACCGACACAGGUGGUCAGGUAGAGAAUACCAAGGCGCUUGAGAGAACUCGGGUGAAGGAACUAGGCAAAAUGGUGCCGUAACUUCGGGAGAAGGCACGCUGAUAUGUAGGUGAAGCCCCUGCGGGCGGAGCUGAAAUCAGUCGAAGAUACCAGCUGGCUGCAACUGUUUAUUAAAAACACAGCACUGUGCAAACACGAAAGUGGACGUAUACGGUGUGACGCCUGCCCGGUGCCGGAAGGUUAAUUGAUGGGGUUAGCGGCAACGCGAAGCUCUUGAUCGAAGCCCCGGUAAACGGCGGCCGUAACUAUAACGGUCCUAAGGUAGCGAAAUUCCUUGUCGGGUAAGUUCCGACCUGCACGAAUGGCGUAAUGAUGGCCAGGCUGUCUCCACCCGAGACUCAGUGAAAUUGAACUCGCUGUGAAGAUGCAGUGUACCCGCGGCAAGACGGAAAGACCCCGUGAACCUUUACUAUAGCUUGACACUGAACACUGGUCCUUGAUGUGUAGGAUAGGUGGGAGGCUUUGAAGCGUGGACGCCAGUCUGCGUGGAGCCAUCCUUGAAAUACCACCCUUUAAUGGCUGGUGUUCUAACGUAGACCCGUGAUCCGGGUUGCGGACAGUGUCUGGUGGGUAGUUUGACUGGGGCGGUCUCCUCCCAAAGAGUAACGGAGGAGCACGAAGGUUGGCUAAUCCUGGUCGGACAUCAGGAGGUUAGUGCAAUGGCAUAAGCCAGCUUGACUGCGAGCGUGACGGCGCGAGCAGGUGCGAAAGCAGGUCAUAGUGAUCCGGUGGUUCUGAAUGGAAGGGCCAUCGCUCAACGGAUAAAAGGUACUCCGGGGAUAACAGGCUGAUACCGCCCAAGAGUUCAUAUCGACGGCGGUGUUUGGCACCUCGAUGUCGGCUCAUCACAUCCUGGGGCUGAAGUAGGUCCCAAGGGUAUGGCUGUUCGCCAUUUAAAGUGGUACGCGAGCUGGGUUUAGAACGUCGUGAGACAGUUCGGUCCCUAUCUGCCGUGGGCGCUGGAGAAUUGAGGGGGGCUGCUCCUAGUACGAGAGGACCGGAGUGGACGCAUCACUGGUGUUCGGGUUGUCAUGCCAAUGGCACUGCCCGGUAGCUAAAUGCGGAAGAGAUAAGUGCUGAAAGCAUCUAAGCACGAAACUUGCCCCGAGAUGAGUUCUCCCUGAGACUUUAAGUCUCCUGAAGGAACGUUGAAGACGACGACGUUGAUAGGUCGGGUGUGUAAGCGCAGCGAUGCGUUGAGCUAACCGAUACUAAUGAACCGUGAGGCUUAACCUUACAACGCCGAAGGUGUUU